rnacentral:rRNA from 1 species
CGCGUCGUGGUAUUUCGCGUAUUGUAAUUUCAACACGAGCGGGGUCAAAUCCUUUGCAGACGACUUACCUGUGCAAAACGGUCCUGUAAGCAGUAGAGUAGCCUUGUUGUUACGAUCUGCUGAGGGUAAGCCGUCCUUCGCCUCGAUUU